GAUCCUGGCUCAGGACGAACGCUGGCGGCGCGCCUAACACAUGCAAGUCGAACGAGAGAUGAGGAGCUUGCUCUUCAAAUCGAGUGGCGAACGGGUGAGUAACGCGUGAGGAACCUGCCUCAAAGAGGGGGACAACAGUUGGAAACGACUGCUAAUACCGCAUAAGCCCACGGCUCGGCAUCGAGCAGAGGGAAAAGGAGCCAAUCCGCUUUGAGAUGGCCUCGCGUCCGAUUAG
rnacentral:rRNA from 1 species